GACGAACGCUGGCGGCGUGCUUAACACAUGCAAGUCGAACGGAAAGGCCCUGCUUUUGUGGUCUGCUCGAGUGGCGAACGGGUGAGUAACACGUGAGUAACCUGCCCUUGACUUUGGGAUAACUUCAGGAAACUGGAGCUAAUACCGGAUAGGAGCUCCUGCUGCAUGGUGGGGGUUGGAAAGUUUCUGCGGUUGGGGAUGGACUCGCGGCUUAUCAGCUUGUUGGUGGGGUAGUGGCUUACCAAGGCUUUGACGGGUACCCGGCCUGAGAGGGUGACCGGCCACAUGGGGACUGAGAUACGGCCCAGACUCCUACGGGAGGCAGCAGGGGGGAAUAUUGCACAAUGGGCGGAAGCCGGAUGCAGAAGCCCCGCGUGCGGGAUGACGGCUUUCGGGUUGUAAACCGCUUUCGCCUGUGACGAAGCGUGAGUGACGGUAAUGGGUAAAGAAGCACCGGCUAACUACGUG
rnacentral:rRNA from 1 species